rnacentral:tRNA from 1 species
AUUUUUAUGGUGUAGAAACACACUUCGUUUUCAUUGAAGAGCCAAGCCUUAGGCUUUAGAAAUA